AAAGAAAAUGUGAAUUAGAGCCCUUACAACGUUAUAGGAGAGCCAUCUGAGUUGGAUACAGCUACUGUCUUUGCCAAAUGUCAACUUCAGGAACUCUGCCUUAAACAAAGACAUCUGGCACCAUUUAUGAGUGCAAAUGCAGAGGCAGGAUGACUCUCAGCAAGCAAUUUUACAUGUGCUGACAUCAACACCUGUUCAUCGCCACAACGAGACACCAACUAUUCCUAAGAGGAAAAAGAUGUAACCUAUAUACCCACAAAGUGGAUUGGGAAUAUAUGGUCAUAUGGUAUAUUAAAACCAUAUCAUAGAAACUAUUGAGAAUUUACCUAACACAUCAUGACAACAAAGUGAACAGCACCCUACCUGAACCAUGUAAAAGGGAAAAAGCUGUAAUGAAGACAUCCCUAUGAACCUGUCAACUAUCUUGUGUGUGUACACUGGAAGACAGACAGACAUAGAAGUCCUGACUGUCCUUGAUGCUUCAGCUCAGCAUGCUACUUGAUGUCCUACAGCUUGAUGUCGCCCACUAAAGUUUCUAGUUUUUGACAGGUCCUAUGUCUCUUAGGCUCUACUCUACCCUGCAACCCAAUAACUUGGCUAUGUGGGUCUACAAAAUCUUCAACCAGAUUAAUAAAGGUCUACUGUAAACACC
rnacentral:lncRNA from 1 species